rnacentral:rRNA from 1 species
AAUCGCUAGUAAUCGUGCAUCAGAAUGGCACGGUGAAUACGUUCCCGGGCCUUGUACACACCGCCCGUCACACCAUGGGAGUGGACUGCACCAGAAGUGGUUAGCCUAACUUCGGAGGGCGAUCACCACGGUGUGGUUCAUGACUGGGGUGAAGUCGUAACAAGGUAGCCGUAGGGGAACCUGCGGCUGGAUCACCUCCUUAAUCGACGA